CUUUGGAAUGAUAUGAAUCACUGUAAUAAAAAAGAUGUCUUGAGAGAAAUCCUGAAGCAGCUGAUCUUGAAAAACCUGCUCAUCCUCUAGCCAAGACCCUUGAGCUUCCAGUAACACUUGUGUGUGCAACCAGAACUGGGCAGAAAGCAGCAAUCCCACUCCACAAGGCAACUUGACUGUUGAUUUUGGAUGUCCUGGAGGAGAAAAAAAAUUGGGCACUUACUAGAGCUUUAAAAAAUAAUCCAUAUGUGAGGCUGGGAGUGCUGAUUGAGUCUGGGUCUGUAGAAGGUAGAAAGACCAUCUUGCACAGCAAACCCAUGGUAUCCUGAUGAUCUGGC